rnacentral:rRNA from 1 species
AGCUUUUGAGCUAAAUAUAUUUAAAUAUUAGUUUAUAUUUAUAAAGUGUUGUAUAACUUUAUUAAAAAAUAUAUUUAGGGGUGAUAGGCUAUUCAAAAACUAAGAUAUCUUGAAUCUAAUUAAAAGUAUGUAGUACAUUCAACACGAUUAUUAAGUGAUUAGGCUUUAUAGAAAUAUUAACUUUUUUUAAGAUUUUUUUUUUAUAAUUUAAUAAUUAAAUAUUAUAAAAUAAAUUAAUAUACAUAUAUAUAAAUUUAUAUUGAGUAAUUAGAUAAAUUUUAGUUUAAUUGUAAUUGUAAUAAUGUUUAUAUUAGUAUAUUUAAUAAUUUUAUAUGAUGAACUCGGCAAAAUGUAUUUCUCAACUGUUUAUCAAAAACAUAACUAUGUGAAAUAAUACAUAGCGGUUUCUGCUCAA